ensembl:rRNA 5S_rRNA 5S ribosomal RNA
GCUUACGGCCACACCACCCUGAACACGCCCGAUCUCGUCUGAUCUCGGAAGCUAAGCAGGGUCGGGCCUGGUCAGUACUUGGAUGGGAGACCGCCUGGGAAUACCAGGUGCUGUAAGYU